UACGUAGGCAGCAAGCGUUGUUCGGAAUUACUGGGCGUAAAGGGUGCGUAGGCGGCUUUUUAAGUUUGGUGUGAAAUCGCCCGGCUCAACUGGGCGGGGUCGGCGGAUACGGCGUGGCUGGAGCAAGCUAGGGGGCAAUGGAAUUCCCGGUGUAGUGGUGGAAUGCGUAGAUAUCGGGAGGAACACCAGUGGCGAAGGCGAGUCUCUGGACAUUUCCUGACGCUGAGGCACGAAAGCCAGGGGAGCAAACGGG
rnacentral:rRNA from 1 species